UACGUAGGGGGCAAGCGUUGUCCGGAAUUAUUGGGCGUAAAGAGCGUGUAGGCGGUCCGGUAAGUCAGCUGUGAAAGUCAAGGGCUCAACCCUUGAAUGCCGGUUGAUACUGUCGGGCUAGAGUCCGGAAGAGGCGAGUGGAAUUCCCGGUGUAGCGGUGAAAUGCGCAGAUAUCGGGAGGAACACCAAUGGCGAAGGCAGCUCGCUGGGACGGUACUGACGCUGAGGCGCGAAAGCUAGGGGAGCGAACAGG
rnacentral:rRNA from 1 species